CCUACGGGAGGCAGCAGUAAGGAAUAUUGGUCAAUGGAGGCAACUCUGAACCAGCCAUGCCGCGUGCAGGAUGACGGCCCUAUGGGUUGUAAACUGCUUUUAUACAAGAGAAAACCCUGGUACGUGUACCAGGUUGAUAGUAUUGUAAGAAUAAGCAUCGGCUAACUUCGUGCCAGCAGCCGCGGUAAGACGAAGGAUGCAAGCGUUAUCCGGAUUCAUUGGGUUUAAAGGGUGCGUAGGCGGACUGAUAAGUCAGUGGUGAAAUCUCUUUGCUUAACAAAGAAACUGCCAUUGAUACUGUCGGUCUAGAGUAUAGAUGACGUUGGCGGAAUAUGACAUGUAGUGGUGAAAUACUUAGAUAUGUCAUAGAACACCGAUUGCGAAGGCAGCUAACGAAACUAUAACUGACGCUGAGGCACGAAAGUGCGGGGAUCAAACAGGAUUAGAUACCCUGGUAGUCCGCACCGUAAACGAUGAUUACUCGUUGUUGGCGAUAUGACAGUCAGCGACCAAGCGAAAGCGAUAAGUAAUCCACCUGGGGAGUACGCCGGCAACGGUGAAACUCAAAGGAAUUGACGG
rnacentral:rRNA from 1 species